UACGUAGGUGGCAAGCGUUGUCCGGAUUUACUGGGCGUAAAGAGCGCUCAGGCGGUCGUUCAAGUCGCGUGUGAAAGCCCCCGGCUCAACUGGGGAGGGUCACGCGAUACUGAUCGACUCGAAGGCAGGAGAGGGUAGUGGAAUUCCCGGUGUAGUGGUGAAAUGCGUAGAUAUCGGGAGGAACACCAGUGGCGAAGGCGACUACCUGGCCUGUUUCUUGACGCUGAGGCGCGAAAGCUAGGGGAGCAAACGGG
rnacentral:rRNA from 1 species